AGUGGAAUCUUCCUGAAAGAAUAUUCACCUGGACAAAAGUGGAGGUGGAGUUUGGAGGCCUUCUGUAUCUCUUUCCUGCUGAGGGCAGUCAAGGAUACCCUCCCAUCAGCAACAUGAGGGUGGACCUUGGAGGAAAGCUGCAGUUUCCUGAGGUUGUUCAAAGACCAGACAUGGUCCUCAGAGGCAAAAAAGAUCAUCCUCACUGGGGUGACAGUGCCAUGGGAGGAAGGAUGCGAAAAGGCCUUUAAGAGGAAAAGUGAAGAUUUGGUACUAGACUGCAGAGGAAAAGGGGUGGCAGAUGUAGUUGUUCCCAGUGGAGGUUGGGUGUAGAGGGAUCUGCACAAAAUCAGUGCGAAGAGAGCUAAAAGCUGUGGCGCUCACUGGGAGGGGAGGGAGAGAAAGACAGCAGCCCAAAGCCUGGGAGAGGCAGUGGAGACAGCCUCAUGCUGGCUCUGGAACAGGAGGAAGAAGUAAAGCUGGAGGCUGGGAGGAGAUGGGCAGUGACUGGCUAUCACUGCUGACCUGCCAGCAGGAGGGUGUUAUGGAUAAGGAUAUAGAUAAAGGUGAAAAAGCCUGACGAAAGCUUGGUUCCACCUGAUGACAUCAAUUACUGGCCAACAGUAAUAAUCCAUAUGUAGGCGGGUGGUACCCACACCUGUAACACAGUUUCCCUGAGAGUCGGAACCCUUCUCCAAGGAAUUCGAGCUUCUCUGUUAUUCUCAGACGCCACACUGAAAGGAGAAGAUGCCGUGGGAACAGCAAUCAGAGCCAGGCCAGUGGUUGCACAGGUUCACCUGGCUUCGUGCAGAGCUGUCUUGUGGACAUCAUGGCACAGUGCUCCUCUCCUGAGCUCCGGAGACGCCCCUGUCUGCUGGCAAUUGUGCUGUUAGAACAGGGUCACGCAGGCUCUGACAGUGGGACAAUUCUCUGACGUGAAGUGUUCUCAUGGGAGAAAACUAAGCACAGGUACAACAUUGUGAGAAUUGGAAGAUUAAAGAACCAUACAGUCUGAUUUGCCUCGAAUCCCAGAAUACCUACACAGCACUAGAAUUUGUCAUUAUUAUUUGGAUUCUCUUGCUGUAAAGGGAAGUGAAGUGAAUUUUUGGAAAGAGGAACCAAACAUUAAAGAAUAAAGCUGUUCAGAGCUCGUGUAUCACCUGGAUGUUAUAAUAACAUACAAUUAUUAUUGUUUUUAAUAUUAUUAUACAUAAUGUCUAGAUGCUGGAAUUUUUCAUAAUGUAUUUUCAGGGUUUUAGCUAUGCCCUCAAGAUUUUUUAUGCAAAUGAAAAGUAAUAUAUAAGACAAACAACCGUUUUGAAAACUGUUAAAAAUAGGGGGGAAAAUUGUUUACAAUGCAUCUUGCAGAUUAUAGGUGGAAUUACUUAGUUCAAUAUGGGAACUUUUUUUUUCAGUGAAAUUCAGUGCUAAUUCAAUUUGGCUUCAAGAGUAGUAGCGAGUGAAUACAAAUUAAGUUCAAAUCCUUGUCAAGUGAUGUUGUAACAUCAGCUGCGUUCUUCACUGGUAACACUCAAUUAAAUGAAUUUUAUUCAUUUAAUUUACAUUGAUGCUGGACUGGAGUUGGAAGGAGACUGGAAGUGAGUCAGGAAUUACAACCCAUUAUGUUUGUUUUAUAGUACUUUAUCUGUCUAAUCAGGGGACUGGGCUCCAGGAUUACAAUCUUUCUUGGUAAUUCUUGUAAUUAAUCAAUAAACAGAAUAUAGCACAAAUCAUUUGUCCAUACACUCAGUGUGGAUUGUUAAACACUUUUCCCAAAAACCAAAUAAAAAGGAGGAAAAUGGGGGAAUGAAUCAUAAUGUAUAGCAGAAAAGCCAGGAUUUACAAAAAAGGAAAAAAUAACGAUCUUCAGAAGAGUUCUGGAUUUGACUUUUCUUGCAAUGAUCACUGGAACUUAUAUUUAUUAUUAGUUUAUUAUUGUAUAUUAUUGCUGAGUUUCAAGAUCGUCAUGGUGAGGACAGUGAAAAAAACAUAUAGUUCUGCAAAGAAGGUGGCACUCAUUGCCAUUGUUGUAAAGAAGGUAUAAUUUAGAGUAAUGGAAAGGUUUCAAUUUUAAAAGAAAGCUCCAGAGAAUUGUUCUAAAUUAGAAAGCUUUCGUGUAAUCCAUUCCAUUGUAAUAGGAUGCUUGUAUGGUUUUAGAGUUCAUAGACUAGCACCUAUGAGAAGAAACCCCUUUCUUAAUUGCCUCUUUCAUUUAAUAAUACAACCCUCGGAAGAAAACAGCAGAGUUCUCACUAAUUAAGCAGUAAUGUGAAAGCAUUUGGACAUAGAGUAUUUGCAGGUUGUGAUCUGGGGUUUACCACUUCAGAGAACACAAGGACAUGCCUGUGAUGUCAUUCAAGAGUUCUUUCAUUUCACCAUGAGUCUCUCCUCCUUUUGUCAGUGUUACAAGAUGGCCCUCCUUAAAAAUGUCUGUACAGAAGAGAAACAGUACAGUUUAGUGGAUAAAAGUACCUAAAAGUACCUCACGAAGGUACUUUUCACCAUGAGAGGAUCUUUUUUUUCUGAUCUGAAGACCAUUAUUGAAUUCCCAUUCGUUUUAAAUAUACAAUAAAAAUGAGAUCUGUAAGUAUUAUAUAUAAUGCUACAUAACUUAGUUGUGUCACAAUAGUUUAGGGAUUUGGACUUGUAACCGGAUGAUUGUCGGUUAAAAUCUUACGUAAGGCAGUCCUAUUGUACCCUUGAGCAAGGUGCAUCACUCUGUUAGCUCCUGUAAAAUACCUAGCUAUAUCAAUAGGCACAAACGUAGGUUGCUUUGGAUAAAGGUGUCAGCCAAAUAAGAGUUCACUAGGGACAACAUCCAAGGGCUGAAUGGUUGUGAAUGGUUGGAAUACUUGGUGAGAAAAGUUUGGCUGAACAUGCUUGGUCAAUGGGUAGCCUCCUGGCCAUCUGAUGAGAAGGGUCGAUCACCAUUCAGACAGAGAGAACGAAGGGGCAGCUGGCAGGUGAAAAUGAGGUGGAAGAGAGAUGCUAUAACAAAUGUGAAGGGAAGUGCUAUCAGAGCAGAUCUACUGGUAGAAUGUUGGUUUUACGGAAUGCUGGGCCCACAGGGGACAUGGACACCACAUUGAAAGCUCUUGUUCUACAGGGGCUUUGACGAUGGGGUUUCAAUCUGCAAAUACUGUACUUGCCUCUCAUUAAGAUCCAGUUCUUCUACGUAAAUAAUCAGAGAACAUGAAAAACAUGUUCCACAUGUGGUAGUUCUCCCUGUUUUGAUUAUUCAAAUAACACUGAAUUGAAUUAUGGGAAUACUGUACACCCAGUAAAACAUCCAGAAGAUUUUCAGCCUCGCUAUACUCUGACAAAUAAAUGGUUAAGCAUUUUUAUUUUCCAGAAAUAAUCUAUUCAUGUUUAACACAUCUGCAAUUUUAGAUAUCUUUGGUUUGUGGUUAGUAACUAAAACUGUUUUGCUUACAUGUUUGUCUAUUUAGUGCUGCAACUAGUGGCUUUCUGAAACUGAUAUAUUUUGUGAUGAAAGUCACUUUAAUUACUGUGAAGCAAAGCUCAAGGCAGAUUCAUGAUCGCUAUUGUGGCAGUCAUGAAAAGCAUAAAAAUGACAUAAAUGCUUUGAUGGUAAAUGACAGGAACCUAGUCUAAGAGUUUAUAUGUGUGAGACCUUUUUUCUCCCUAAUUUUCUGUCCCCUGACCAAACUGUUCAGUUUGUUUUACUUUAUAUCUCUGUGUGUUAUUUUUUUCUGAUUUAAAUAACUAUUAUCCAUAUUCUUGCAUUAAUCAUUUAAAGAGUAGUUAAUCAUAUGAAACCAAGCAAGAGGCAUCUGUGAUAGAUUGCUUUGAGAAUAUAGCUAUUGUAAUAUUCCAUUGUAAUACUCAUCUGAUAUUCUGUUAACUAAUAAUAUUUUCUUGUUGUCAUC